rnacentral:lncRNA from 1 species
CAGCUAGUGAAGCAUGGGGGAGAGCCAGCACUGUCUACCCUCAGACCACGAGUUGUUGGUGGCUUCAUCUCCCAGGGGACACAGCCAACCAUGUCUUCAUGGGGAGAACGGAGGGAAACUUAUGUGGCACUGUCGCCCAAUCCAAGGAAGUGGAGAUGGAAGUCACGAGCCAGGUGGACGGGUGUUGGCAGCAGACUGCACUGGACUUAAGCCUGUGGGGAUUAGCUUGGAGCCUCACCUAAGACCUGGGGGCCACUAAGAAGGCAGAACUCCUAGCAACCCACCGCCAAGGCCGUAGAAGGGUGGAACAGACCUCCAGGUGCAAUUACUCCCAAACCCACGGAGAAGAGGAGGCCCUUUAGGGCGUAUUGGGCUGUGAAGUGAAGAGCCGGGCUCAGACCUCAGGCUCCAGGAGGAGGCAGAGUGAGAACUGUUUUCUGUAUAUACUCAGAAGUUUCCUGAGGUCUUAAGAGUAGCAAGGUGAGAAAGGGAAGGUGUUGCUAUCCUAUCUAGGUGUACAGAGAGACACACACACCAAGGAUGGAGACGGUUUAUUGUUAUACCAAAAAUAUAUGUAUAUAUCUAUAUAUAUAUGCAGAAAUAAAGGAUCAGAAGGCUAUAAACC